ACUGAAAAUAUUUAUUGCUAUUUCAGGUAUAACCCGAGAUGGUUAACGGUGGUUGGAAGUGGUCGGAGUUGAACGAGGAGGAGGACGAGGACUUGUGCUCGUUCUGUGCCCCACGUGGUGAUCCACUAGUACACAUCCUCCGACGUGACAUCGCUGUGCUACGUAUAAA
rnacentral:lncRNA from 1 species